GAUAUCUUCAACGAAUUUUUAUAUACCCCUGGCAGUUUUCGGUUUAUAUCAGACUCUCACAUUGAGGAGAACAAAUACCAUGAAUGUGUUGUCUUUUUUUUUUUAAUACAUUUAGAUAUGAAACAUGUACUUCAUAUAAAGCCUCAUUUAUAGAACAUUCUUUAUAAUUUAUUGUGUCAAGGAAAUAUUUGGAUCAGAGAAAUGUUUGGCGGAGGAGAGAGAGAGACAUAGAGAGCCUGACUUAUAUCGCGGUAUUUGGUCUCAUGUUAUUCAUGUCAAAAUGUGAUUGGAGGAAACGUUUCCCAUUCGUUUUAUAUAUAUUCCAUAAUGAUAUUAGUUAGAGAUUUAAUCCAAUCCAAACUAAUAAUUGUUUUUUUUUU
rnacentral:lncRNA from 1 species